GAUGAACGCUAGCUACAGGCUUAACACAUGCAAGUCGAGGGGAAACGAUAUUGGAAGCUUGCUUCCGAUAGGCGUCGACCGGCGCACGGGUGAGUAACGCGUAUCCAACCUGCCCAUCACUUGGGGAUAACCUUGCGAAAGUAAGACUAAUACCCAAUGAUAUCUCUAGAAGACAUCUGAAGGAGAUUAAAGAUUUAUCGGGGAUGGAUGGGGAUGCGUCUGAUUAGCUUGUUGGCGGGGUAACGGCCCACCAAGGCGACUAUCAGUAGGGGUUCUGGGAGGAAGGUCCCCGACAUUGGAACUGAGACACGGUCCAAACUCCUACGGGAGGCAGCAGUGAGGAAUAUUGGUCAAUGGGCGAGAGCCUGAACCAGCCAAGUAGCGUGCAGGAUGACGGCCCUAUGGGUUGUAAACUGCUUUUAUAAGGGAAUAAAGUGAGUCUCGUGAGACUUUUUGCAUGUACCUUAUGAAUAAGGACCGGCUAAUUCCGUGCCAGCCGCCGCAGUAA
rnacentral:rRNA from 1 species